AGAGGUUGGGCCUGUAGACGCUGACAGGAGGCAGGAGCUGGGCCGGGAGAGGUCAACUUGAGGAGAUUUUGGGCCUUCAUAGGCCACCAGGAGGCAGCAGUUGGGACUAGAGAGGCUGACUUGAGUAAGUUUUGGGCCCGGAGAUGACGUUCUGGGACAGGAGCUGUGCCUGGAGAGGUCACUGUGAGGCAUGAGCUGGAUGUAGAGAGGCCAGUGUGAGGCAAGACCUGGGCCUGUCUAGGCUGCUGGGAGACACGCAGGAAUCUGGCCAGGGAAGGUUGCCAUGAGACGAAAGUUGGGCCUGGAAAGGCCCUUGUGAAGCAUGAGCUUGGCCUAAAGAGGCCACUGGGUGGCAGGAGCUGGGUGUGUAGAAGCUGCUAAAGGUUGGGAGCUUGGCUUGGGGGGUCCACAGUGAGGCAGAUGCUGGGCCUCAAGAAUCUGCUAUGAGGCAGAUGUUGGGACUGUAGAGGCCGACGGGAGGCAGAGGCUGGGCCUGGAGGGGCCACCAAGAUGCAGGAGCUGGGCCUGGAGAGGCUGCAAAGAAGCAUGAGCUGGGCCUGGUGAGGUCGACUUCAGAAAGUUCAGGGCCUAGAGAGAAGGCUGGGAGGCAGGAGCUGGGUCUAAAGAGGCCAUUGUAACGAUGGAGCUGUGCCUGUGGAGGCUGUUGUGAGGCAGUAGGCUCAUCUGCGGAGACUGCCGUGAGGUAGGGUAUGGGCCUAAAUAGGCCAUUGUGAGUCAUGAGCUUGGUCUGUAGAGGCUGACUGGAGAAAGUUCUGGGCCUGGAGAGGCUGCCGGGAGGUAGGAGCUGGGCCAAAAGAUUUAAGCACAUUUACAUUUAUUAGGCACUUCGUUUCCAUUAUUACACUGUAAUAUCUAAUAAAAUAAUUAUAGAACUCACCAUAAUGUAGAAUCAGUGGGCA
rnacentral:lncRNA from 1 species